UACGGAGGGUGCGAACGUUAAUCGGAAUUACUGGGCGUAAAGCGCGCGUAGGCGGUUCGGUAAGUGGGAUGUGAAAGCCCUGGGCUCAACCUGGGAACUGCAUUCCAAACUGCCGAGCUAGAGUGUGGUAGAGGGAGGUAGAAUUUCCUGUGUAGCGGUGAAAUGCGUAGAUAUAGGAAGGAAUACCAGUGGCGAAGGCGGCCUCCUGGAUCAACACUGACGCUGAGGUGCGAAAGCGUGGGGAGCAAACAGG
rnacentral:rRNA from 3 species